rnacentral:rRNA from 1 species
GACAGAGGGCCCGAGCGUUAAUCGGAAUCACUGGGCUUAAAGGGUGCGUAGGCGGAGCUGUAAGUGUUCUGUGAAAUCCCACGGCUCAACCGUGGAACGGCAGGGCAUACUGCAGUUCUUGAGGCCAGUAGAGGUUGCCGGAACUCUAGGUGUAGCGGUGAAAUGCGUAGAUAUCUAGAGGAACGCCAAUGGUGAAGACAGGCAACUGGGCUGGUUCUGACGCUGAGGCACGAAAGCGUGGGGAGCAAACAGG